CACCCCUUCCCAUACCGAACAGGACGGUUAAGCCCGCCAGCGCCGAUGGUACUGCCACACCAGGUGGGAGAGUAGGUCGCCGCCUUCC
rnacentral:rRNA from 1 species